rnacentral:rRNA from 1 species
UACGGAGGGUGCAAGCGUUAUCCGGAUUUACUGGGUUUAAAGGGUGCGUAGGUGGGUCUGUAAGUCAGUGGUGAAAUCCCCGAGCUUAACUCGGAAACUGCCAUUGAUACUAUAGGUCUUGAAUCAUCUGGAGGUGAGCGGAAUAUGUCAUGUAGCGGUGAAAUGCUUAGAUAUGACAUAGAACACCAAUUGCGAAGGCAGCUCACUACGGAUGUAUUGACACUGAGGCACGAAAGCGUGGGGAGCAAACAGG